rnacentral:lncRNA from 1 species
GCUCUCUCUGUUAGGGGGUUGGUAUUAUCAUCAUCUCUCUUAGGGGGUUGGUAUUAUCAUCAUCUCUCUCUUUUAGGGGGUUGGUAUUAUCAUCAUCUCUCUCUGUUAGGGGGUUGGUAUUAUCAUCAUCUCUCUCUGUUAGGUGGUUGGUAUUAUCAUCAUCUCUCUCUGUUAGGGGGUUGGUAUUAUCAUCUCUCUCUGUUAGGGGGUUGGUAUUAUUAUCUCUCUCUCUCUGUUAGGGGGUUGGUAUUAUCAUCAUCUCUCUCUCUGUUAGGGGGUUGGUAUUAUCAUCAUCUCUCUCUGUUAGGGGGUUGGUAUUAUCAUCUCUCUCUCUCUGUUAG